UACGUAUGGGGCAAGCGUUAUCCGGAUUUACUGGGUGUAAAGGGUGAGUAGGCGGUAAGAUAAGUCAUAUGUGAAAUUCCAAGGCUCAACCUUGGAACUGCAUAAGAAACUGUCUAACUAGAGUGCAGGAGAGGUAAGUGGAAUUCCUAGUGUAGCGGUGAAAUGCGUAGAUAUUAGGAAGAACACCAGUGGCGAAGGCGACUUACUGGACUGUAACUGACGCUGAGUCACGAAAGCGUGGGGAGCGAACAGG
rnacentral:rRNA from 1 species